rnacentral:rRNA from 1 species
GAGUUUGAUCCUGGCUCAGGAUGAACGCUGGCGGCGCGCCUAACACAUGCAAGUCGAACGGCACCCCUCUCCGGAGGGAAGCGAGUGGCGAACGGCUGAGUAACACGUGGAGAACCUGCCCCCUCCCCCGGGAUAGCCGCCCGAAAGGACGGGUAAUACCGGAUACCCCGGGGUGCCGCAUGGCACCCCGGCUAAAGCCCCGACGGGAGGGGAUGGCUCCGCGGCCCAUCAGGUAGACGGCGGGGUGACGGCCCACCGUGCCGACAACGGGUAGCCGGGUUGAGAGACCGACCGGCCAGAUUGGGACUGAGACACGGCCCAGACUCCUACGGGAGGCAGCAGUGGGGAAUCUUGCACAAUGGGGGAAACCCUGAUGCAGCGACGCCGCGUGGAGGAAGAAGUAUCUCGGUAUGUAAACUUCUAUCAGCAGGGAAGAUAAUGACGGUACCUGACUAAGAAGCCCCGGCUAACUACGUGCCAGCAGCCGCGGUAAUAC